rnacentral:rRNA from 1 species
CCUACGGGAGGCAGCAGUGGGGAAUUUUGGACAAUGGGCGCAAGCCUGAUCCAGCCAUGCCGCGUGUGGGAAGAAGGCCUUCGGGUUGUAAACCACUUUUGUCAGGGAAGAAACGGUCUGAACUAAUACUUUGGACUAAUGACGGUACCUGAAGAAUAAGCACCGGCUAACUACGUGCCAGCAGCCGCGGUAAUACGUAGGGUGCAAGCGUUAAUCGGAAUUACUGGGCGUAAAGCGUGCGCAGGCGGCUUUGCAAGACAGAUGUGAAAUCCCCGGGCUCAACCUGGGAACUGCAUUUGUGACUGCAUGGCUAGAGUACGGUAGAGGGGGAUGGAAUUCCGCGUGUAGCAGUGAAAUGCGUAGAUAUGCGGAGGAACACCGAUGGCGAAGGCAAUCCCCUGGACCUGUACUGACGCUCAUGCACGAAAGCGUGGGGAGCAAACAGGAUUAGAUACCCUGGUAGUCCACGCCCUAAACGAUGUCAACUGGUUGUUGGGAGGGUUUCUUCUCAGUAACGAAGCUAACGCGUGAAGUUGACCGCCUGGGGAGUACGGCCGCAAGGUUGAAACUCAAAUGAAUUGACGGNNGNGAGNGCGAGACGACGACGAGGGAGGAGG